GGGCCCGUAGCUCAGGAGUAGAGCACUGCAUUCGCAUUGCAGGGGUCAGGGGUGCGAAUCCCCUCGGGUCCA
rnacentral:tRNA from 1 species